UCCAGACUCCUACGGGAGGCAGCAGUGAGGAAUAUUGGUCAAUGGGCUUACGCCUGAACCAGCCAAGCCGCGUGAGGGAGGAAGGUACAGAGUAUCGUAAACCCCUUUUGUCAGGGAACAAAGGCGGGGACGUGUCCCCGGAUGAGUGUACCUGAAGAAAAAGCAUCGGCUAACUCCGUGCCAGCAGCCGCGGUAAUACGGAGGAUGCGAGCGUUAUCCGGAUUUAUUGGGUUUAAAGGGUGCGCAGGCGGUCUGUUAAGUCAGCGGUGAAAUGCCCCCGCUCAACGGGGUGAAGUGCCAUUGAUACUGCCUUGCUGGAAUGCGGAUGCCGUGGGAGGAAUGUGUGGUGUAGCGGUGAAAUGCAUAGAUAUCACACAGAACACCGAUUGCGAAGGCAUCUCACGAAUCCGCGAUUGACGCUGAUGCACGAAAGCGUGGGUAUCAAACAGGAUUAGAUACCCGCGUAA
rnacentral:rRNA from 1 species